UGUAAACAUCCUCGACUGAAAGCUGUGCUCCGCUGCUGUGAAAGGGCUUUCAGUCAGAUGUUUGCGUU
rnacentral:pre_miRNA from 1 species